CAGCCAUGUAGUAAGUACAGAGCGAACUAUUCUUUCGCCUUUUACUAAAGAAUACCGUGUACUUAUUAUUUAAAGUGGCAUAUAUACCAAUUUUUCUCAUAGGGAUCCUCUUUUGGGUCCU
rnacentral:snRNA from 1 species